GCGCUGGCCCAAGACCCACAGGGAGCAGCAGGAGUGACUGCGGUACCAAGAUGGGGGACAGGGUAUGAGAAGAACAUCUCAAGAAAUCCUUUGCUGUGAAGCAAAGCACAAGAACAACUGUUCAAGCACAUUGACUGUGUGCAUGAAGUAAACCUGAUGCUCAUAUGGGGAUGCUUCACUGUGCCAUGGUACAUGAUGGCACCUGCCUAUCUUGGUCAGGAAACUCCUAGCGAGCAGGAUGAUUUGACCAAAGAGGCUCUGCAGGUGAAAUCACGAAGGGCUACGCUUGAACGGAUAGCACAAGCCUAGGAGACCAAGCUGGUGUUCCCAGACCUCAGGGAGACUCCUCAGCACCCUGUCUUCAGGGUAAUUUCAUUUGGAUCUCCUCCUUCCUUCCACCCUUUAUGUCGGGAUUUAAGGCUGUUCAGGCAGAGACAUUACAUUUGAUUCACUGACUCCAGACCACAGGCGAACUUCGAACUAAAUUUUCCUGGGCUCAG